GGGCACUUGGUCUAGGGGUAUGAUGUAAGUUAUUUCAAAUCAAUAAUCUGUAUGAUAGAGCUAACCAAUUAUUAGUUUCGCUUCGCAUUCAAUAUGUAUAUGUGAAAGGUCGUGGGUUCAAUUCCCACAGUGUCCA